CUCUCCCGUUUUCUCUCUCCUCCCACCCCAGCCUGCCGGCCAGCCGCUUCCGCUGCCACCCCAGGCCGCCAGCGCACCUCCCCAGCCGCCCCAGCUCGCCGGCCGCCGCCUAGAGCACGGGCAAGCGUCGCACGAAGCGACGCGACUUGGGCCGGGUCUUGUAUCUAAACCCAUAUACACCUCGAGAGCUUUCUAUAGACACUAAGAACACUGAAAUCCAUCUAGCAGUUUGUCCAAUUUUUGUCCGAG
rnacentral:misc_RNA from 1 species